UGUGGCCCCAAGUCAGGCGAGGCCACCCGCC
rnacentral:rRNA from 2 species